rnacentral:rRNA from 1 species
UAGGGAAUCUUCUGCAAUGGUCGCAAGUCUGACGGAGCAACGCCGCGUGAGUGAAGAAGGAUUUUGGUUCGUAAAACUCUGUUGUUAGAGAAGAACAGCGCAUAGAGUAACUGUUAUGCGUGUGACGGUAUCUAACCAGAAAGCCACGGCUAACUACGUGCCAGCAGCCGCGGUAAUACGUAGGUGGCAAGCGUUGUCCGGAUUUAUUGGGCGUAAAGCGAGCGCAGGCGGUCAAUUAAGUCUGAUGUGAAAGCCCCCGGCUCAACCGGGGAGGGUCAUUGGAAACUGGUUGACUUGAGUGCAGAAGAGGAGAGUGGAAUUCCAUGUGUAGCGGUGAAAUGCGUAGAUAUAUGGAAGAACACCAGUGGCGAAGGCGACUCUCUGGUCUGUAACUGACGCUGAGGCUCGAAAGCGUGGGUAGCAAACAGG